CAAGAUUUAAGUCCGCGUUGCCUCCACUGCAGGAUCUCCCAAGCUAUACCACUUAGAUGUUCACUUGCUCCCUGGAGUUGAUCCAAAUGAUUUGGAAUGCCUACCCUCACAACCAAUAAGCAGUGGCAUCAAGCUUUUUCUGUACAAUGUAGAUGAUACAAAAGUAGAGUGGGCCAACAGAGUGGUGCGGGCACUGUAUCCUGUGCAAGGAAAAUACACUGGCUUGGUAUUUAAAAGGAAUCAGUUAAGUCCUAAGGGGUGCAAAGACCUGGUGGAUGCCUUAGCAAACAAUGAUACACUUAAGGGCAAAAUUGAGGUUGAACAUCUGGACAUCUCCUCCCAGAGCAUCACUAGUACUGACAACACUGAACUGCCAAGUUACACCAAGAGGAAACUGCCAAAGUGCAAUUUUAAUUAAGAAUGUAAGUUCAGUAGCAGUUUCCAGAAUCCUUGUUUUUACUUACCAUCAUCACCUUAUUUCUCUCCGUAUCAUUUCACAUUAUUUACCUAUUUUACCAUUCAUUUAACCCAGUAUAUAUCCAUAACUCUUACACUCCCCAAGUAACACUCAACAAUUGUCACACUCCCCCAGUAUAUCUCAACAUCUCUUACAUUCUCCCAUUAUAAUUUAACACUAUAACUUUUGUACCCUGGGGGAAAACUAAGUUGGGGCUACUCAUUAAUUUUUUAGCCGUACAAUUACAUUAGAGAUUCAAUAGAUCCUUGACGAUGCAAGAUUUGUUGUGAUGCAUUUUAAAUCAGAUUGGCAAACAAGCAGAACCCUUUCUUUAUUAUAUUUGUCUCUCCACAUCAACUUGUUCCCAUCUAAUAUUCAAGUUUAUGCCCUUCAGCCAAGCAUCCUGGCAUCACUGUAUGUCUACCUAUACAAUAUAUCAAAGUGUUGUACAAUCAUAAUAGAUACUAUAUUCUGUAAAGGAUCAUAAUACUGCUGGGUUAUGGUGUAAGUGCAAUUAACCAAAAUUAAUUAAUAUCUCAGAGGCUUAUCCUAAACUCACCUCGCACUAGAUCAAUGGUUCUUAACGCUUUUGGAGCUACACCUCCUGACCCCUCCCUAUGAUAAACCUUGAGUACAUAGCACCCACCUCCCUAUGAUAAACCUUGAAUACAUAGCACUCCCCUCCAUAUAAUAAACCUUGAAUACCGCACCCUCCUGUUCCUAUGAUAAACCUUGAAUACAUAGCACCCCCCUGUUCCUAUGAUAAACCUUGAAUACAUA
rnacentral:misc_RNA from 1 species